rnacentral:rRNA from 1 species
GGCGGACGGGUGAGUAACACGUGGAUAACCUACCUAUAAGACUGGGAUAACUUCGGGAAACCGGAGCUAAUACCGGAUAAUAUUUUGAACCGCAUGGUUCAAAAGUGAAAGACGGUCUUGCUGUCACUUAUAGAUGGAUCCGCGCUGCAUUAGCUAGUUGGUAAGGUAACGGCUUACCAAGGCAACGAUGCAUAGCCGACCUGAGAGGGUGAUCGGCCACACUGGAACUGAGACACGGUCCAGACUCCUACGGGAGGCAGCAGUAGGGAAUCUUCCGCAAUGGGCGAAAGCCUGACGGAGCAACGCCGCGUGAGUGAUGAAGGUCUUCGGAUCGUAAAACUCUGUUAUUAGGGAAGAACAUAUGUGUAAGUAACUGUGCACAUCUUGACGGUACCUAAUCAGAAAGCCACGGCUAACUACGUGCCAGCAGCCGCGGUAAUACGUAGGUGGCAAGCGUUAUCCGGAAUUAUUGGGCGUAAAGCGCGCGUAGGCGGUUUUUUAAGUCUGAUGUGAAAGCCCACGGCUCAACCGUGGAGGGUCAUUGGAAACUGGAAAACUUGAGUGCAGAAGAGGAAAGUGGAAUUCCAUGUGUAGCGGUGAAAUGCGCAGAGAUAUGGAGGAACACCAGUGGCGAAGGCGACUUUCUGGUCUGUAACUGACGCUGAUGUGCGAAAGCGUGGGGAUCAAACAGGAUUAGAUACCCUGGUAGUCCACGCCGUAAACGAUGAGUGCUAAGUGUUAGGGGGUUUCCGCCCCUUAGUGCUGCAGCUAACGCAUUAAGCACUCCGCCUGGGGAGUACGACCGCAAGGUUGAAACUCAAAGGAAUUGACGGGGACCCGCACAAGCGGUGGAGCAUGUGGUUUAAUUCGAAGCAACGCGAAGAACCUUACCAAAUCUUGACAUCCUUUGACAACUCUAGAGAUAGAGCCUUCCCCUUCGGGGGACA